rnacentral:lncRNA from 1 species
AGAGGCUCACUCUGUCUCGUGGCUCCCCCAGGGCUCAGGCUGAGUGCAGAUCUGAUCUGCUGGCCCUGCUCUACAGCACGCUGGGGCUCUGCCUGUGCAUCCCCAUCUGUGGCUUCCCGGCGUGGCGGCCUGUUCCCUCAAAAGGAGGGUGGCUCUGCUCUCCUGCCAGCCCGUCUCAGCAGAUCACAAGAUGGAAGCUGGCAGCCUAGUGGGUGUGCCACUCAAGCCAGUGGUGACCUGUGACUUCUGCUUCCUGGAUCGUGGGGUGCCCACCCAGGAGAGCACAGGUAUGCCCCACACCCCUGACCUUGAGGGCGCUGGGAGGUGGGGGACCAAUGUGCUCUAUCCCUGUGUGUAUGCCCUGAAAGGUGGCCUAGGAGUCCUGUGUGCGCCCAUCCACGUGGGGUCCCAGGAGCU